UACGUAGGGUGCAAGCGUUGUCCGGAAUUAUUGGGCGUAAAGAGCUCGUAGGCGGUUUGUCGCGUCGAAUGUGAAAACCCGGGGCUCAACCCCGGGCCUGCAUUCGAUACGGGCAGACUAGAGUUCGGUAGGGGAGAACGGAAUUCCUGGUGUAGCGGUGAAAUGCGCAGAUAUCAGGAGGAACACCGGUGGCGAAGGCGGUUCUCUGGGCAUUACCUGACGCUGAGGAGCGAAAGUGUGGGGAGCGAACAGG
rnacentral:rRNA from 1 species